rnacentral:lncRNA from 1 species
GUCUUUUAAAGGCAUCCCCUACACCUGCGCAGACUCAGUCCCCAUGGAACCCUAGGCUGACCGGGGUCCUCCUGAGUGGAUUCUGCCAGGUGGCAGGGCAGGCCAGCACAAUGCCUGAGCCUUUCAGUCACAUAGCCAUAAAAAUGUAUUUUGAUCUCUCAACUCCCACCAUUCACUCAACUUCACACCUUCACUCUUUGAGAUGUCACAACAGCCAGAGGAAGUCGCUUACCGGUGUCAGCUGCACCCGGACGUCCCCCGGUAAACAAUGAACAAGACUAACCCUGGCGUGUGGCUUUUACUGAGGGCCGCGGUGUCAAUUCUUCUGUGACAGCAGAGUUCAAGUUACAAACGAGCAUCACUGAGCGCAGAGCUGGGAAGACCAGCACUCAGUGGUCUUUCAGCUGGUUUAAGUUGGCUCCAGCUCAAGGCUGGCCACAGCAGGGACCCUGAGUGAGGUCACCCAGGAAUUCUAAGCAUCAGCCACACUUAAUUUCUGACAUCUGACACCCACAGGAAAGAGCCAGGCAUGGCCUGCACAUCUGUAACCACAUCCCCGGGAAGGCAUAAGACUAGUGAAUGAUCCUGGAGCUUGCUGGCCAGCCAGCGUAGCCACAUCAGUGAGCGUGAGCUCAGAGAGAGACGCUGCUUCAAGGCAAUACUGCAGAGAGCAAUAGAGGACGACAGCAUGAAAGGCCUCCCUCAGCACGGGCACUGGACUCUUCCCGGCCACACUGCCUCACAACUGCCCCUGGACAAAGACGGCUGCUGGUGGUAUUCCCAUUACACAGAUGAGUAAGCUAAGGCCCAGAAGGCUGAUGAUUUGCCCAUGGUUGCACAAGGGAUGAGAAAAGAACACGGGCAUCGCCCUAAGUCAACUCACUCCAGCCCCGCCGUCCUUUCCUUCCUCCCCACCCCAUGAUCAAAUGGCUGCCCGGAGUGUGCUAACUCCAUUUAGGUGAUGUCCGCUCACGUUGACUGCAAGCAAGCACCUGACGUUGGGAAAUGUCAAGGGAAAUAAAGAGAGAGGAAAAUACCUCGACCUGAAGUUACAAGCCAAAGAGACUCCAGAACCGAGGGGUAUAGCCUCUGGCCUCUGUGCUUCCAUUCACAGCCACGACCUUCACUUCACCCUCCUCUAGCCCACACGUGUGUACCAAGCACCUGCCCUGCACCAAGCCCAGGCCUGCAUGCUGAGCUUUCACCCACAACAGCCCAGUUAAGGCCCCUGCCUUCGUCAAGAGGAUGUUCUAAAGGAAGAAGAUGAGGAGACCGGGUGAGAUAAAUGGGUGUAUGUUGGAACUGAGGCAGAUACAGACAGAGCUGGUCUCAGGUGGGGGCCGAUUCCAGUCGUAUAAAUGUCAGGCUGGCCUCCGCAAGCCAGCCCACAACUUUCAAAUCAACCCCGGGAGCUGUUUCUCUCCUUAUCAGAUCAUAGGAAAACAAGUCCCUUAUUACAAAAUCAUGAGAGACACCACCUGAGAACCCAGGCAAAGCAAGAACUGAUGCAGGGCCUCAGGACAGUGACUGCUAACAAGCCAGAGCCCCAUCUCCAAGGGUAAGAGGCCAAGCCGAGCGAGCCUGAGAAAGGGCAGGUUCCACGCGUGCUGGAAUAUUGUGGGAAGAUGACAUUAUCGUCAUGUCUUCAGGGUCGAACUAGAGAUGCUUGUAAAUCAAAAUUAAAUUACACUCGGUAUCAUGAACAAGAAUUUCAGCUUCCAGGACAUCACUAUGUUUGCACACAUGUGGAUUUUAUAUUUCAAAAGAUGAUACAGUCCGCAGCCAGCCCCGCCCACCCCGGACAGUGUUCUCUCUUUGAACCUGAUGCUUCUGACAUCUCCAGUCGGUGCUUGUUUGGCAUUUAACCGUGCACCGCCUGUGAACUUGACUUGUUUUCUUGCAUGGUUUCUUAUCUCUUCUAGCACUGAACUUCUCGAGCAAUGGUGACUCAUCUAGCAGCUGGUUUACUGGGAUCUCGUCUUACCUUCGUACUGUUUUUUUUUUUUAAAGAUUUAUUUAUUAUGUAUACAAUGUUCUUUCUGUAUGCAUGCCAGAAGGCCAGAAAAGGGGACCAGAUCUCACUAUAGAUGGUUGUGAGCCACCAUGUGGUUGCUGGGAAUUGAACUCGGGACCUCUGGAAGAGCAGCCAGUGCUCUUAACCUCUGAGCCAUCUCGGCAGCCCCUUCGUACUGUUUUAACCUUGAACACUAAUGUGGCAUUCAGCUAGCCUGCACGAUUUGCUGAGCAUCUGUUGUAUCCUGGGUACUUCAUAGACAGUGGAGAGGUGGCAGUCUUAGAGAUUGUAUUCUUAAGCGGGGGAGGGGGGUAUGGCCACCACAGAGAUGAAUAAUUCAUCCUGACACAUUAAGAGAGAAAGAAGGCAAAGGAUGCAAUUCUGAAAAAGAAAUAAAAAAUAAAAAAAACAUAUGUUGACGCUAGACAGUUGUCAGAGAGGAGAAAGCAAGGUGGAGAGUGGGUCCUUGCAGAAGUCUCCUCAAAGGUGACGGAAGUCGAUGAGUGUGUGAACACGGGCACACUGGGUGUGCUUCCCAACUGCAGGGUGAACAGCCUUCCUUAAACACGUCAUCACAAACCGUGUGACUGAAAGGGUUUUGAUCGCUGCACACGUGUGUAUAAUAUAUAAUUAUAUACAAGGGAUAACGUGUUGUGUCAUUCUUAUUGCUAUGACCAGUAUGUGUGGCUCUUCGUUGCUAUCUAAGACCAAAAUACUUUACAGAAACAACUAAAAGAGAUAAAGGUCUGUCGGGCGUUGGUGGCGCAUGCCUUUAAUCCCAGCACUGGGGAGGCAGAGGCAGGUGGAUCUCUGUGAGUUUGAGGCCAGCCUGGUCUCCAGAUUGAGUGCCAGGAUAGGCUCCAAAGCUACACAGAGAAACCCUGUCUUGAAAAACCGAGAGAGAGAAGAGAGAGAGAGAGAGAGAGAGAGAGAGAGAGAGAGAGAGAGAGAGAGAGAGAGAGAGAUCCAUUUUGCCCAGUUUUGGAGCAGUGAGUCGUUCAGGCGGGGACAGCUUGGUGGAGGGGAACAGAAAGCAGGGAGAGGAUACCAGCCCCCAAGGCUGGCUUUCUUAGUCCUUAUCUUUUAUUGCAUAGAGUCAACCCCCAGCCUAGGGGAUGGUGCCACCCAUGAUCAGGGUGGGUCCGUCUCAAAUCCACAAGUCUAAUUAGAUAAAUAAAUUUUAAAAAAAGAAACCUAGCAAGCAACACAGAUGGUUCCUCGGUCUCCUAGGUGUUUCCAAAUGCAGCCAACAGUAAAGAUGAACCGCCACACUCCAGUGCUUUGUAAAGU